ensembl:lncRNA
ACAGAAUGCAAGCUUUGAGUUUUGCUUUCUAAUAAGUUCAAAUACCAUGUCCAGUCCAAGGGGGAAGUGCCCAAACCAGGAAAAUAUCAAAUUAACCUAUGCAAGAGGCUGAUUCCAUCCUACAGUUGGAACCAGGGACUUGUUUCUGCAUUUCCCACCCGUUUGGGGAUGCUCUGCUUGCACAUCCUCUGGUAAAGGUCACGAUCUGUUACAGCUCUUAAAACAAAAGCAAAACCAGCCCGGGCUGAGGAAUUCACAUCAGCGUUUCUGGCAGCUGGGGUAGGAAAUGGUGAGUGACUGAAUCUCUGAGGCCAUGACCUCCUCCCUCUCCAUCCUCCUGCAGAUGAUGACAUCAGAAUUUUCUUGGGACUGAGCCUCAGCAUGGUUGGAUUAUCAGUUCUUUUUGCAAUUGUGAUGUUUAAAAAAUCAGUCAGGAAAAGGUACUCCUUUCUCCUCCAUAUAUUCUUUUCUUAUUUCAAAUUCAUAAUUUUUAUUUUUUUUUUUUUUUUUUUUUUUUUUUUUUAGGGGGGUUUUGUUGUUGUUUUUGGUUUUUUUGCUUUUUGGUUUUGUUUUGUUUUGUUGUAUCUAGAAGGAAUAUAAAAUUUCUUCGGGGAUAUUUUGAAAUCAACUACAGAGUCCUUUUCACCUCAGCCAGAGGGCGAUGUCACACAUUUUUCAGGCUAUCAUAUGAGAAGACUUUUGGUGCUCUACAGUAAGGCAGAGACCAACCAAAAAAAAGUCAAAUAAACAAGCAAUUGGUGAAAUUAAAGAAUGGGGAACCCAGCGUUUCCAAGGCUGGAUGUUCUUCAUGUGUCCUUCCUACCCAGGCAGUUUCACGCUGUGUGAGGAAUAUUUGAAUAAUACAUUGGAGUAACAUUUGGGGUUUGUUUGUUCCCUUUUGGUGAAGGAUCAAGGCCACCCUUGUGUCCCUCUUGCCAAGGUGGCUGUUUGAAGACUUUCCCCACAUGGAGAACAGCACUGUGUUGAAGUCACUCCAGGACAAGGCUGAUUUCCCCAGCGACAGCCUCCAGGAGCCCUUCCUGGCCUCCGCUGAGCCCGCAGUCACGGAGGUGGAGGAGGUGCCGGCGCAGGAGCAGCCCCAGAGCCUGGACACCAAGGCCAGGGCAGAGGUGCCCGAGCCUGGGGAGCUGCCAGGGACCGUGGUGGUCCCCAGCAGCCCGGCCCCAGGGCAGCUGGGUGCCUACAAGCCCCAGCUCUCCGACGGGAACGCUCUGGGAUACGUCGCUGCCGGAAUCUACCGGGCACAGCCGCCCGCGGUGGCGCCGCAGCCAGAGGUGGGAAUCUGCCCCCAGGACUACAGCAGCCCCGUCCCCACCCUGUGGGACCAGCAGGGAGGGACAGCCCAGGUGUGCCUGCUGGAGAAGAUCAACCUGGUGCUCAACAGCAGCCUGGGGUUCCCAGGGCAGGCGGGACUCGGAUCCAUCCCGCAGCAGCGCUGGGAGCCGCCCGGAGAGGGGCCCCAGCAGAUGCUGGUCCCCAAGGAGCUGCUGUCCUGCCUCAGAGCCACCAGGGAGUCUGUGGGUGCAAACCCCCACACGGCAUGGGAGGGCUGUCCUGACAGCAGCUGGAACUGGGGAUGAAGCCCUGGAGCAGCCACCAAGGCAGUGCCAGCAUCGGGAUUGCCCAUGGAAGAGCCAGAGCAAAACUCCCAAUGGAAUUUUGCCUUCUUACUCCACUGCGGGUUCUUGUGGCUGCCUGGGAAUCUUGAGCCAGCAAAUCUCAAUUUUAACCUUACCUCACACUGGCAGAAGCAAAAAAACUCAUAAAACUUGGAUUCCUGGAAUGCCAAGCAGGAGAUUCCUGCAGGGUUCAAUAACUUCAGUUACUGCUCAGCACUGUCCUCUUGUUAAAGGUUUGGAGCACUUCAUUCCCAAAUGUUUGGAGCACUUCAUUCCUGGAGCCAAUUGCAGUUCAAAUGGAUAAAGAAAUCCCUCAGACAUCCUGGCAGAGAAGUGGAAAAUAUUUUGGGAUUGCUCCUGAUGAACAGACCAAGGAGGAUUUAUGAGUCACACAGAUAUCAAGGACAUGGAAUAUUUUCUGUAUUUCAUUUUCCUCCCACUCCCAAUAAAAGCCCACUUAGGUAAGAACA